rnacentral:lncRNA from 1 species
GGAGACUUUUCUAGUCACCAGGAUCUGCAUUCAUUUUUACUGUGUCAUUUACUUUGCCUUCAUGUCAUCCACAGGAAGUUUUCCCAUGCUGCACGCACAUCAAGUUCCAGUUCAGACCAUCAGAAGAGGAGGCCAGUGAUCCAAAUGCCAGCCAAAACAGCACACAGAAAUGCAUUGUUUCCAAGGCAUCCAAUCCCAGGUUUUGAUUACAGAGGGACCCUGGCAAAACACAACUGCUUUCCUUAAAAGGGCCUGAGUGCACAACUUUGACUUUUACAUUCCCCGAGAUCUCCUUGGCUCUUAUUCUGGGAUUCCUUUGG